rnacentral:rRNA from 1 species
AUUGAACGCUGGCGGCAUGCCUUACACAUGCAAGUCGAACGGCAGCACGGGUGCUUGCACCUGGUGGCGAGUGGCGAACGGGUGAGUAAUACAUCGGAACAUGUCCUGUAGUGGGGGAUAGCCCGGCGAAAGCCGGAUUAAUACCGCAUACGAUCUACGGAUGAAAGCGGGGGACCUUCGGGCCUCGCGCUAUAGGGUUGGCCGAUGGCUGAUUAGCUAGUUGGUGGGGUAAAGGCCUACCAAGGCGACGAUCAGUAGCUGGUCUGAGGGGACGACCAGCCACACUGGGACUGAGACACGGCCCAGACUCCUACGGGAGGCAGCAGUGGGGAAUUUUGGACAAAGGGCGAAAGCCUGAUCCAGCAAUGCCGCGUGUGUGAAGAAGGCCUUCGGGUUGUAAAGCACUUUUGUCCGGAAAGAAAUCCUUGGCCCUAAUACGGUCGGGGGAUGACGGUACCGGAAGAAUAAGCACCGGCUAACUACGUG